rnacentral:lncRNA from 1 species
UGGUUUUCUGAAUCGGCAAAUAAUAACCUUGCUCUCGUCCUUGGACGUUAAGGAUGAAAUAUUUUGGGAAAUGCAGAAAGAAAUGCAUUGGACUCUCAUCUUUGUGCACCGUCAUUGCUACCUGCAUACAUAACUGUUCUAACAAAAUGAUCACACAGGCAUUAAUCAAAAGCUACAAGGAGAUGAAAUAUCGCUGUAUUGAGCACGUUUAUGUUUUUAUUCGAUGUGACCCUUGCACGCGGCUUGUCCAACCUGUCCAACAGGAGCGAAAAGGAAGGUAGUGGUGGGAGGAUUUCAAGGCUGAGUAUGGCUCACGUAAGGGCAACAUCUAGGAUGAAAGCCUGAUUGGAAAUGGAAAUAUCACUGACCAUGCUAAUGGUAAUGCUUCUUUUUCUGAUAUUUUCGACAUCCAGGACAUUGUAAGCUUGAGUAAGCCUGGAAUUCAGAACCUACCGAAGUUGAAAAAUCGAAGUGAGCCUUGGCUUGUUGUUCUUUAUGCACCUUGGUGCUGCUUUUGCCAUGUAAUUUAUCUUCUCAUCAAUAAUUUUUCUUUCUCCACUGAAACUUAUCCAAGAUUCGAAUUUGAUUAGUUCAACGUUUAAGGUUCUCACCACUGGAUUCAUCUGAGCCAUUGCAUAUAUGUUGCAUUCGCUUCUACUUCAUAGCCGAAUGGUAUUUAGGGAUUAUCUUGAUGAUCUUGUUUCUGAUUUUGUACAGGCAAUGGAAGCUUGGCGAGUUAUGGCAUGAAAGUAGCGAAAUAAAGGGCAGGUGGUGAGCAGAAAGCAUUUUCCCAACAACAAUUCCAGGUUGCAAGCUUCCCUGCAAUACUUUUCUUCUCUAGACAUUCUUCACAACCCAUUAAGCUGUGUUGCUCGGACUCUUCAAUAGUGUCAAUGGAUGUGUGUCGGAUUCACCAAAACUAGUGUAUUUUUGGAGAACUCGAACGAUUACGGCAUCAAAAGUGAAGAGUUCACAAAACUUAGCCAUUAAGUAUCCGUCGGAGAAGAGGGAUGUAGAUUCCAUGCUGGCUUUUGUGAAUGCUCUCAGGUAAAAGACUGUUUUUACAUAUCUUGUUUCGAGGCUAUUCAGCAAUACCAAAAGUUGCACGCAAGCUGAUUUAGAUGCAACGGGUUAUCAAGAAAAAAUGGACUUCUGGUUGUCAGAAGUUAGGUAGUAAAGUAUAUUGUCCUCUUUUUUCUUUUUCCUUUUUAUAUCCAUCUUUGAUCAUGACUUGAUUCUAGGAAUUUUGUUGUUUGAAUCAAUAUAAAGGGGCUUUUUUUUUGAGCGGCCUCUUGAAAAAAUAUAGGGUAAGAAUGCAUACAAUAGACCCUUAUGGUUCGGGUAUAUUAUGAAGCCCGUACAUACCCAGAAGCUUAGUACACUAGGCUACCCUUUAGUUUGUUUUGGUUGCUUCUUGAUUAUGCAAAAUCUUGGAUAUUUUUUGGCUAUGGCUACCUCGUUAUGACUUCACUUCAGUCACUAGCCCUGCCUUUGGCAACCCCACCUCGCAGUUAAGGUAAUGGAUUCUUAUAAAGAGGAUGUUGUUUGAUAAACUUAUAUGAUCCGAGAAGAAAUUCUCUACAUUAUUAUGCACAGUAAGUUAACAUUGUAUCCAAGUCCUCAAAUUUGUUCUUAUAUAUGUUGGAUUAUAUUCUUGGACAUCUAAUUGGAACUUGCUUGCUCUAGAAACUUUGACAUGUUAAUACCAAGUCUCAUUAAUCAUAAAAGUUCAAAGUAGUUAGAAUGAUUGUUUCAGUAUUUAAAUUCUUACUUCGUGUAAUUUUUACUUAGAAACAAGGAUUUGUUCGAGCUUUGUUGCUUCAUGUUGUGCGGCCUAACAGGCACAUACGCUUCACCUGCGCACUAGCUCAUACUGCAAGAGAAGAUCUUCUCUCGGCGACUAUUGAAAAAUUAAUGAUCCAAGCGAGAGUAAAAUGUUGUUGUUCUCUAGAUAGGUGAUUAAUAGGGGUGUACAUAGGUCGGGUUGGUUUGUUUUUUAUUUAAAAAAAAAAAAUCAAUUAUGUCGGUUUACUAAAACUAUAAAUCAAAUCAAACCAACAUAAAAUUGAUUUUUUCGGUUUAGGUUUUAGUCGAUUUUUUCGGGUUUUUCGUUUUUUUUAUUUUUUUUUUAUUUUUUUUUUAAUAAUCUUUAGUUUUUACAAUUAUAUUGUGAUCGAAUACUAGAUCAAAUAUGUUUUCACUCACGUGCUAAUGAAAAACCAUAAUUAUGAAAAAAUGAGGAGCGAAAAACUCUCUUGAAACUAAAAAGUGAGAUGAAGAGUGAAAAGUUUAGUUUUAAGUUUAUAUUGGGUUUUGGUAGGGCUGUUCAAAACCGAACUGUAUUCGAUAAGCCAUCCGUAAAAUUAACUUAUUGGCUUAUUGGUAUUGGCUUAUCGGAUAAAUGGUUGGUGAACGGAUUAAAUUUUUUUAAUUAACGGCUUAUUGGUGAGGGGGUGAAUUACACAAUUUUCUUAUUGGAUAAAUCGUUAACCCGUUAAGAAUUACCAUAUAUACUUAUAUUUUUCACCUAGAUAUAUAAAAUAUAUAUUAUAUUAUAUUAUAGUAAAAUUUAAACUCAAACCUAAUGGAACUAAAUUCUAACCUAAAGUCCAUCCCUAAUUAACCCUAAACAUUAAAGUACGUACUAACUAGUAACUACUAAAGUUAUUAUUUAUUCAAGUACAAAAGAUCAAAACUCAUAACCUGUUCAUUGCUUUGGUUUGCUUUGCCGAUUCAAAUCAAAAGUACUCAACAGUAGCCAAAGCUUUAAAGAGAUUUAGCACUAGUAUUUCUGUUGUCAGUGUCAUUGUGAAAAGAAAAGAAUGUUAUAUUCUGUUUUGUUUUCUGGUUUUGAGACGCAUUCAAGCAGAAAUUGUGGAUGUCCGAUAAACCGUCCGAUAACCACCCGAUAAUUGUUUAUCCCUUACCAAACCAACCGAUAUCUUAUCGGUUGGCUAGUGGAUUUGUAUAUUUUAUAAUCGAUAACCGUUAAGUCAAACCGUUAAGUGUAAUGGUCCAUCCGAUCCAUUCGAUAAGCAGACCUAGGUUUUGGAUCAUUUAAUUAAUAAUUAAUGGACAAAUAUUACAAUUUAAAGGCCCAAAUUUAAAUAUAUAUCUACAUCUACUUUCAAAUUAUUGAAAAUUACCAAAACUAGUUGAAAAAGUAUUUAAAAAAUAGAUUAUAAUUAAUAUUUUAUGUAUAAAUAGUUCGAAUAUAUAUAUAUAUAUAUAUAUUAUGUCGGUUUGAUUCGGAUUCGAUUUGACUUUUUUUUUGUUAACAUCAAACCAAAUCAAGAAUGGUCGGGUUUUUUUUUCUAACACCAAACCAAUCAAAUCAAACCAUAAGUUAGUUUUUUUUCUCGGUUUGAUUUGGUUCGUCAAUUCGGUUUGACUUGACGGUUUAGUCUGUACACCCCUAGUGAUCACAGUAACAUAUUAGACAGUUGUAUGUCAUGCAAAAAUUCUGCUUGCUGCCUCUUUGUAUGCUGUUUUUCGUUAAGACCUUCGGAUAUGUAAGAUUUUAGGGGAUGAUGACGAUAUCUAAUUUAUCUAAAUUUAAUUCCUGCUUUGAGUUACUGAUUAUUUAUAGAAGGUGUUCAAUGGGUUGAAUAAUGUGUAAUCUUUGCGUUAUUUGGUGUACUGAAUUUUGAGGUUUUUUUCAAGCUGAGAUUUCGAUGAUUGCUUUGAACCUCACAAUGGUACUUGCACAAUUUUAUUUUUCUGUACACUCUGGCUUCUGAGAUUAUGGCUUCAACUUACAAUUACUCGAUUCUGAUAGGUUUUGGGCACUCCACAUAAGCUUAAUGUUGUGCUUAGAGUUGACCUGUUUAGCUGUGUUUUUCUGGUCAACUAUGACUUCGAAUUCUUCCUCUUUCCGGCCACAAUUUCGUUAAUUUCUUUUCUAACAUUUUUGAAUUCAGAGAAAAGUGGAAAAUUGAAUUUUCUACUGUAUAGCUGCUGCAGUUCCAUGUAUUUCUGGAAAACAGAUGGUACAAGGGUGGGUUUAAGGAAAGGGUAAUUUAGUAGACAAAUAUUUUUUUACAAAAUUUAUAUAAAUAUAAAUUAUCUUUUAAUACAUCAAGUCAAACAUAACUAAUACUAACAUUACUAAUACUUAUAUUAAUAAUAUAAACAUUACAAAUACACCCUAUUUAAUAUUUAAUAUUAUUCUUAUACACUCUCCCAAACGACCCCGAGAAAACAACAUAUCACGUUUGCAAAUAGCCUCUCUUGAAACAAAGGGGUACUCUACAGAUUAAAGGGGGCGAAAAUAUAUAAUUUCCAGCGAACGAACAACACCAUCACGAUCAAACGUGCAUCAUACACCUUCAAAUCCAUUUUUCGGCACGAACGACAACUCAAGCUAGACGGAAAAUUAUAUACAGGAAUCCAUCUUCCAAAAUCAAUUAGGAUUUAAUUGGAACUUAACUGCAAACCCAUUUUAGAACCAAAAUCAUCUUUAUGCUCUAAGGUGAAACGUCCAUAACAAAUUUUCUGAAUGAAUCAUAAUUGCACGUUCAUAGAUCGAUGAGAUAAAAAUACAUAUAUGAAACAGACGAAGAACAAAAUCAAAAGGAGAAAAUCGCACCUUUUUCGGUGUAGCCAACUCGGGCUUCCGGUUAAGGAUUUUUCGGUGACAAACUCAACUCUGGGACUCGCAAUUCCUCCAUGGACCAAAAAAUGGAGAAAGAGAAAAAAGACAGUGAAUCCCAGCAACUUCAAUGCCUCCCUUUUUUAGCUUUCCCAACCCAUUUUUUCUCCAAUCUCGGCCCUUUUCCGGCCUUCUUUUACUCGAUUUCCUCCGCCUCUCCUCACGAGAUUUCUUUUUUUUUUCUUCAGACCCCUUUUUUGAUUCCCAAGAAAAAACCCGACCUCUGUUCAUACGAAUUGAACAAUGCGACCAUUUAUAGGUAAAUCUAGACUUGAAAGUCCGGAUUUGAAACUACAAAUUCAAAGAAACCAAUGGGCGAAUCGGGAAAUUAGAAUUCAAAAUUGGAAAGGGACAGAUCCUUCCUCAAUUUGGACGAUUUCCAGAACCUUAAUGCAGAUUUGAAUCAAAUUUUCCUUGUAUCACUAAUUUGGGGCUGACUUUUAUCUGAUUUUCGGACUCACAGGUUGGACUUGGCUGAGAAGGGGCGAAUAUUGUGCAGCGAUGGCAGGGUUGCGACAGCUAUUGCCGCUAGCCUCUCUGAUUUGGAUGAGAGAGAGGAGGUGGGAAGAGAAAGGGGAGCAUUGUUGUCGCUGAUUUUAGGUAUCUGGAUAGAGACCCUUCGACUAUUUUCCGGGGAGGCGAGAAUACGCGUGAACCAAAUAUUGGGAGUGACAAAGAGCACCUGUUUAUUUUGACUGAAAUGUGGAUCAGGUUUAAUAUAAGAAUAAAGAAAAAUUAAAGAGAAAAAGCUUUUUUUC